rnacentral:rRNA from 1 species
UACGGAGGGUGCAAGCGUUAUCCGGAUUCACUGGGUUUAAAGGGUGCGUAGGUGGGCAGGUAAGUCAGUGGUGAAAUCUCCGGGCUUAACCCGGAAACUGCCAUUGAUACUAUCAGCUCAUUGAAUACCGUGGAGGUAAGCGGAAUAUGUCAUGUAGCGGUGAAAUGCUUAGAUAUGACAUAGAACACCAAUUGCGAAGGCAGCUUACUACCCGAAUAUUGACACUGAGGCACGAAAGCGUGGGGAUCAAACAGG